GACGUAGGGUCCGAGCGUUGUCCGGAUUUACUGGGCGUAAAGCGCACGUAGGCGGCUUUGUAAGUUAGAGGUGAAAGCCCGGGGCUCAACUCCGGAAUUGCCUUCGAUACUGCGGGUCUCGAGUCCGGGGAGAGGUGAGUGGAAUUCCUAGUGUAGAGGUGAAAAUUCGUAGAUAUUUAGGAAGAACACCAGUGGGCGAAAGGCGGGCUCACUGGACUGG
rnacentral:rRNA from 1 species